AUGGAACAACUUAACUUGGAUGAGGAGGAUUUUGACGAUCCGAUCAUCGAGGAAGACGAUCCGGUCGUUAACGAGGGAGUGCGUUGGUUAGCCCUAGCUAGGGUUCACACACAAAAGAGUUUUAGUCCGACGGCGUUCUACAAAGAUAUGCGCGCGGCAUGGAACACAUCGAAGCCUGUGAGGUUCAGACCCGUCGGACCGAACGUGUUCGUGGUGCAGGCGGAGUGCCUCGGGGAUUGGGAGCGUAUGGUGGAACAAGGGCCUUGGCUGUUCAGCAAUUUAGUGGUGCUGAUGGCCCCGUAUGAUGGAUUCACGAAGGCGGAAGAUGUGCCCAUGCUGUUCUUGCCGAUAUGGCUUAAGAUUCACAAGUUGCCCGAUGGGUUCUGCAAGAAGAACAUAGUUGAAUCCUUGCUGAGGAAAUCUGGUGAGAUCAUGGAGAUGAGGUUGAACGGGAAUAUACGUGGUGACUAUGUGAGGGUUAGGGUUCGCCAUGAUAUCCGAAAGCCCCUCACAAAGUUCGUGAGCAUUGUCCGAGGAGAGGAAAGGCAAGUGCUCCUGGUUCGUUAUGAAAAGGUAGCUCGUUUCUGCAGCGUAUGUGGUCUUAUUGGACAUGAUCAUAAGGAGUGCAGCUCCGGCGUUCAUGAUGAAAAGGAUAAGAAGUUUGGUCCUUGGCUCUAUGCAGAUGGGCCAAAUAAAACAAGAAUGGAU
rnacentral:rRNA from 1 species